GAUGAACGCUGGCGGCGUGCCUAAUACAUGCAAGUCGAGCGAACAGACGAGGAGCUUGCUCCUCUGACGUUAGCGGCGGACGGGUGAGUAACACGUGGAUAACCUACCUAUAAGACUGGGAUAACUUCGGGAAACCGGAGCUAAUACCGGAUAAUAUAUUGAACCGCAUGGUUCAAUAGUGAAAGACGGUUUUGCUGUCACUUAUAGAUGGAUCCGCGCCGCAUUAGCUAGUUGGUAAGGUAACGGCUUACCAAGGCGACGAUGCGUAGCCGACCUGAGAGGGUGAUCGGCCACACUGGAACGGAGACACGGUCCAGACUCCUACGGGAGGCAGCAGUAGGGAAUCUGCCGCAAUGGGCGAAAGCUUGACGGAGCAACGCCGCGUGAGUGAUGAAGGUCUUCGGAUCGUAAAACUCUGUUAUUAGGGAAGAACAAAUGUGUAAGUAACUAUGCACGUCUUGACGGUACCUAAUCAGAAAGCCACGGCUAACUACGUG
rnacentral:rRNA from 1 species